UUUCAGGUUUGGACGAGUUUGAGUCCUACAUUUGAAUGACCUAUAACUACAAUGUUUGGUCAAGAAACCCCGGACUAUCCUGCACCUUAAAGUGACUCUUAAGAGUAUGGACGAGUUUGUGUCCUACCUUUGUAUGACCCAUGACUACAGUGUUUGGCCAAGAAUCCCCGGACUCUCCUGCACCUUAAAGUGACUCUUAAAGAUUUGAGGUGGUUCCUGUCUCUGUACCAAUUUAAGGAUUGCAAUUGUGUCCGUGUCCUUCCAUGC